UGAUGAGCCUUGGAAGCGUGAUGGCAGU
rnacentral:piRNA from 1 species